GACGAACGCUGGCGGCGUGCUUAACACAUGCAAGUCGAACGGAAAGGCCCUGCUUUUGUGGGGUGCUCGAGUGGCGAACGGGUGAGUAACACGUGAGUAACCUGCCCUUGACUUUGGGAUAACUUCAGGAAACUGGGGCUAAUACCGGAUAGGAGCUCCUGCUGCGUGGUGGGGGUUGGAAAGUUUCGGCGGUUGGGGAUGGACUCGCGGCUUAUCAGCUUGUUGGUGGGGUAGUGGCUUACCAAGGCUUUGACGGGUAGCCGGCCUGAGAGGGUGACCGGCCACAUUGGGACUGAGAUACGGCCCAGACUCCUACGGGAGGCAGCAGUGGGGAAUAUUGCACAAUGGGCGGAAGCCUGAUGCAGCAACGCCGCGUGCGGGAUGACGGCCUUCGGGUUGUAAACCGCUUUCGCCUGUGACGAAGCGUGAGUGACGGUAAUGGGUAAAGAAGCACCGGCUAACUACGUGCCAGCAGCCGCGGUGAUACGUAGGGUGCGAGCGUUGUCCGGAUUUAUUGGGCGUAAAGGGCUCGUAGGUGGUUGAUCGCGUCGGAAGUGUAAUCUUGGGGCUUAACCCUGAGCGUGCUUUCGAUACGGGUUGACUUGAGGAAGGUAGGGGAGAAUGGAAUUCCUGGUGGAGCGGUGGAAUGCGCAGAUAUCAGGGGGAACACCAGUGGCGAAGGCGGUUCUCUGGGCCUUUCCUGACGCUGAGGAGCGAAAGCGUGGGGAGCGAACAGGCUUAGAUACCCUGGUAGUCCACGCUGUAAACGGUGGGUACUAGGUGUGGGGUCCAUUCCACGGGUUCCGUGCCGUAGCUAACGCUUUAAGUACCCCGCCUGGGGAGUACGGCCGCAAGGCUAAAACUCAAAGGAAUUGACGGGGCCCCGCACAAGCGGCGGAGCAUGCGGAUUAAUUCGAUGCAACGCGUAGAACCUUACCUGGGUUUGACAUGGAUCGGGAGUGCUCAGAGAUGGGUGUGCCUCUUUUGGGGUCGGUUCACAGGUGGUGCAUGGCUGUCGUCAGCUCGUGUCGUGAGAUGUUGGGUUAAGUCCCGCAACGAGCGCAACCCUUGUUCACUGUUGCCAGCACGUUAUGGUGGGGACUCAGUGGAGACCGCCGGGGUCAACUCGGAGGAAGGUGGGGAUGACGUCAAGUCAUCAUGCCCCUUAUGUCCAGGGCUUCACGCAUGCUACAAUGGCUGGUACAGAGAGUGGCGAGCCUGUGAGGGUGAGCGAAUCUCGGAAAGCCGGUCUCAGUUCGGAUUGGGGUCUGCAACUCGACCUCAUGAAGUCGGAGUCGCUAGUAAUCGCAGAUCAGCAACGCUGCGGUGAAUACGUUCCCGGG
rnacentral:rRNA from 1 species